UGUCCAAAAGUCAUACCUCAAGUCUUAAUUGGGGACAGUUUCAUACAUCUGUUAAGUUGGCUAUUAUGUCUGACGUUAACUAACGAUGUGGCGCCUACGUGAACAAUAAAUAAAUGUUACGUGUUAAUAUUGGCCCACUUAGAUAUUAAAAAAUAAAAAUAAAAAAAAUUUCUUUGACCAAAAAAGAAAUUUUUAAAAAUUAAAAUUUUUUAACCCUCCCCUUCCUUUCUUCCUCUCUAUGUCUCUCUCGCUCAUCUGGGAUAAAACCCAGUAACCACCAACCACCAACCACCAAUCUUUCCCCACCAGCCCAACCUCGUGAGCCGAGCUGCCGGAAAUGGGUUCCCAAUCAGACACCGAGAGAGAAAAAUGAGAGCCCUCGCCGAUCCCAUCGCGCCGCCGAUCACAAUGCGGAGUCUCUCUGCCCAGUUCCCAACAAUCCCUCCGUCUCGCCGGUAUUUCAGUCUCACCUGCCUUCAUGGGAGAUCAGCGACUUCGAGGAGCAGCGAGAAGGGACGAUCUUUAGGUUUUCGAGCAAGGCGGCGUCGGGUCGGGUUGAGAGUGGUAAAUGGUUCCCGUUGAAGAGGAGAACCGGCUCGAAGGAGAAGAAAGGUAUUGAUGCUGAGGCUGAGAAGGAUGAGGAAAGGUGGAGAGGUGGAGAGCGAAUCACUCAUGCUUCAUUUCCCUUGUUCAUGAGAUGAUAAAUCAAAGGUUAAUUUCUCUACUAGGAGAGAGGUUGGUGUUUGCUUGAAGAGGAGGAAAACUGGGAAGAAUGUAGCCACUGCCCAACGUGGAUGGUCUUCUUCCAAAGUUAAUUUCUUGAUUUUCCCUCUCUUUCUCGUUUCUGUUUGGUUACUGAUCCAAAAAGCAAAUAGGGGUUUUACUUUUUUGA